AACGCGAAGAACCUUACCUGGGCUUGAACCGCUACUGACCAAGGGUAGAAAUAUCCUCUUCCCGCAAGGGACAGUAGUAGAGGUGCUGCAUGGCUGUCGUCAGCUCGUGCCGUGAGGUGUUGGGUUAAGUCCCGCAACGAGCGCAACCCUUACUCGUAGUUGCUACCCGCAAGGGAGAACUCUACGAGGACUGCUCCGGAUAACGGAGAGGAAGGUGGGGAUGACGUCAAGUCAGCACGGCCUUUAUGUCCAGGGCUACACACGUGUUACAAUGCAUGGUACAGACUGUUGCGAACCCGCGAGGGGGAGCUAAUCGGACAAAACCAUGCCCAGUUCGGAUUGCAGUCUGCAACUCGGCUGCAUGAAGCUGGAAUCGCUAGUAAUGGCGUAUCAGAUCGACGCCGUGAAUACGUUCCCGGGCCUUGUA
rnacentral:rRNA from 1 species